GCUUGUGACCAGACCACCCUGGACAUGCCUGAUCUUGGUAGCUAAACAGGGUCAGGCCUGGUUAGUACUUGGAUGGGAGACCGCCUGGGAAUACCAGGUGCUGUAAGCU
ensembl:rRNA 5S_rRNA 5S ribosomal RNA